rnacentral:rRNA from 1 species
AGAGUUUGAUCCUGGCUCAGAACGAACGCUGGCGGCGUGUUUAAGACAUGCAAGUCGCACGGUAUCAGAUAUGUAGCAAUACCUGUCUGGUUCAGUGGCGCACGGGUGAGUAACACGUGAAUGACAUGCCCUGCAGAGGGGGAUAGCCCAGGGAAACUUGGAUUAAUACCCCAUGGUAUCGCAAGAUUAAAGGGUGGCCGCAAGGCUGCCGCUGCAGGAUUGGUUCGCGUUCUAUCAGCUUGUUGGCGGGGUAACGGCCCACCAAGGCUACGACGGAUACCUGGUCUGAGAGGACGAUCAGGCACACUGGAACUGAGACACGGUCCAGACACCUACGGGUGGCAGCAGUCGAGAAUAAUUCACAAUGGGGGCAACCCUGAUGGUGCAACGCCGCGUGGAGGAUGACGGUCUUCGGAUUGUAAACUCCUGUCAUCCGGGAGCAAGACCUGGUCGUUAAUAGCGAACAGGGUUGAUAGUACCGGAAGAGGAAGGGACGGCUAACUUCGUGCCAGCAGCCGCGGUAAUACGAAGGUCCCGAGCGUUGUUCGGAAUCACUGGGCGUAAAGGGAGCGUAGGCGGCGUGGUAAGUCAGAUGUGAAAUCCCGGGGCUCAACCCCGGAACUGCAUCCGAUACUGCCGUGCUAGAGGAUUGGAGAGGUAGCUGGAAUUUACGGUGUAGCAGUGAAAUGCGUGGAUAUCGUAAGGAACACUCGUGGCGAAAGCGAGCUACUGGACAACUCCUGACGCUGAGCUCGAAGGGCCAGGGUAGCGAAAGGGAUUAGAUACCCCUGUAGUCCUGG